ACCCUUAGCUUCCCUCCAAAGGUGGGUGGCCUCAAUUCAGUAGUCUAUGGAUUCAUUGUGUUGCCUUGGUUGUGGCUGACAGCUAGAGAACCAAGCUUGUAGAGGCUGGUUCCCUGAAGCCAGCAAGAUCCCAGCGGCUCCUCCACUGACUGGGUACUCAGUUUAGGUGUUGAAGUUCUCCACUAACAUCCCUUCAUCAAGAACCAAGUUCUAGCUGGGCGGUGGUGGCGCACGCCUUUAAUCCCCCCACUUGGGGGACAGAGGCAGGCAGAUUUCUGAGUUUGAGGACAGCCAGGGCUACACAGAGAAACCCUGUCAUGGGGGGAAAAAACAAAAAGAAGUUCCAUGGCAGGAGAUUCAUCUGUGGAAAAGCCCAGAGGUUUUUCAACUGUAAAUUGAAAGCCUUUGGGUAGACAAUGGAGUUGUGAAUAUAGUGAAGUGUUGUCUUUUCCCCUUGGGUGUAACAAGGUCUCCAUAUUGGUACAGAGGUCACACUGGCCACAUAAUCAUAGUAAGGACAUGAGGUAGGUCUAAGACAACAGUAGUGGAGCUGCUAACAUUCCAUCAAAGUCUUCCUUUUAGCCAGGCCGUGGUGGUGGUACAUUCCUUUAAUCUCAACAGAGGAGGCAGAGGCAUCUCUUUGAAUUUGAGGCCAGUCUGAUCUAAAGUGAGUUCCAGGACAGCCAGAGCUACACAACGAAAUACUGUUUCAUACCCUUUCAGUGAAGGCCAUCUUGGGAGCUACAACAGUAUACAUAAAGGCCACUCCAGGUCAUGAUCUGACCUGGACUGUUGUGGGGCCACACGCUCAGUAAACUGAGAUUUUUAUUGGUUUACUAAGGUGAACUUUAGUGGUCACCACUGGUACCCUACUUGAAAAAAAAAUGCAAACACAUUCCUGUAAAUUUAUUUUAGCGUAGGUGGUCAUCUUUUAAAAAACGUCGGGCUGUGGCUCAGUGGGUAAGAGCACCGACUACCCUUCCAAAGGUACUGAGUUCAAAUUCCAGUAACCACAUGGUGGCUCACAACCACCCUUGAGAUCUGAUGCCCUCUUCUGGUGUGUUUGAAGACAGCUACAGUGAACUUAAAAUAAUAAAUAAAUCUUUGGGCCAG
rnacentral:lncRNA from 1 species